rnacentral:rRNA from 1 species
UUUCAAUACCUCGAGGACAAGAUUGCGAGCAAACUACCGCCUUGGUCCGCUAUGCAUGUUGCUACCCCCGGGCGCAUUGUCUUGGUCAAAGCGGGCCUCACGGCCAUUGCGAUCUACCAUCUCAUGCCGCUGGAGCUGCCCGCUGAGGUCUGGAAAAAGAUUGACAGCCUGCAACGUGCCUACCUUUGGGCUGGUGGUGAUAAGGUGUCGGGCGGAAAGUGCAAGGUUAACUGGGAGCUUGUUUGCAAGCCUAAGAUUUUUGGUGGCUUGGGUGUGCUUAAUCUCCAGAAGUUUGCGACCGCCCUUCGUCUUCGCUGGCUUUGGUUUGAAUGGGCAGACCCUCCUAAGACUUGGAUGGGGAUGGAAACGCCAUGUUCAAACAGCGACAGAGAUUUGUUCUCGGCUUCCACAAUAGUGACUAUUGGGGAUGGCAAAAAGGCUAAAUCCUGGGAAUCCCCAUGGCUAAAUGAUCCCCGGCCUAAAGACAUCACGCCAAAGAUCUUUGAAGUGUCCAAGAAGAAGGCAUGUUUGGUUAACAAGGCCCUUGACAACAACUUCUGGAUCCAGCAAAUCGACACUACUCAGGGACUGACUUUGCCACACAUCCAAGAGUUUGUGGUUCUGUGGGAGAUGAUUGAUGGUGUUGCUCUCAAUCCUGAUAGGAAGGGCACUAUAUCUUGGAAAUUCACUUCCAGUGGCGACUAUUCGGCGGCUACGGCGUACACGGCGCAGUUCGAGGGACAAGUUCUCAGCUCAACCUCUCCCACAAUCUGGAGGAAUUAG